GCGACCCCCGAGCGGUCGGCGUCCCCCAACUUCUUAGAGGGACAAGUGGCGUUCAGCCACCCGAGAUUGAGCAAUAACAGGUCUGUGAUGCCCUUAGAUGUCCGGGGCUGCACGCGCGCUACACUGACUGGCUCAGCGUGUGCCUACCCUACGCCGGCAGGCGCGGGUAACCCGUUGAACCCCAUUCGUGAUGGGGAUCGGGGAUUGCAAUUAUUCCCCAUGAACGAGGAAUUCCCAGUAAGUGCGGGUCAUAAGCUUGCGUUGAUUAAG
rnacentral:rRNA from 1 species